rnacentral:rRNA from 1 species
GAUGAACGCUGGCGGCGUGCCUAAAACAUGCAAGUCGAGCGGCAGCACGGUCUUCGGACUGGUGGCGAGCGGCGGACGGCUGAGUAACACGUAGGAACAUACCCCGAAGUGAGGGAUAACUGCUCGAAAGAGUAGCUAAUACCGCAUGUGAUCUAAGGAUUAAAGCUUUAUGCGCUUUGGGAAUGGCCUGCGUCUGAUUAGUUUGUUGGUGAGGUAAUGGCUCACCAAGACUACGAUCAGUAGCUGGUCUGAGAGGAUGAUCAGCCAGACUGGGACUGAGACACGGCCCAGACUCCUACGGGAGGCAGCAGUUAGGAAUUUUCCACAAUGGGCGAAAGCCUGAUGGAGCAACGCCGCGUGCAGGAUGAAUGCCUUCGUGUUGUAAACUGCUUUUAUAUGUGACGAAUAUGACGGUAGCAUAUGAAUAAGGAUCGGCUAACUCCGUGCCAGCCGCCGCGGUAA